rnacentral:rRNA from 1 species
AAUAUUGGACAAUGGGGGCAACCCUGAUCCAGCGACGCCGCGUGUGUGAAGAAGGCCUGCGGGUUGUAAAGCACUUUUAGUGGGGAUGAAAAGCUCAGGGCUAAUACCUCUGGGUCUUGACCUAACCCACAGAAAAAGCACCGGCUAACUCUUUGCCAGCAGCCGCGGUAAUACAGAGGGUGCGAGCGUUAAUCGGAAUUACUGGGCGUAAGGCGUGCGUAGACGGUCAUGUAAGUCGGGUGUGAAAGCCCCGGGCUCAACCUGGGAAUUGCAUUCGAGACUGCAUGGCUAGGGUACGGAAGAGGGAAGCGGAAUUUCCGGUGUAGCGGUGAAAUGCGUAGAUAUCGGAAGGAACACCAGUGGCGAAAGCGGCUUCCUGGUCCAGUACCGACGUUCAGGCACGAAAGCGUGGGGAGCAAACAGG